CUGCGGANGNACAUUGUCGAAACCUGCCCAGCAGAGAGACCCGCGAAC
rnacentral:rRNA from 1 species